rnacentral:rRNA from 1 species
CAUGCCUGGCUUUGGAAACUGGAGGACUGGAGAGCAUGAGAGUGAGGUGGAACUCCAUGUUUAGCGGUAAAAUGCGUAGAUAUAUGGAAGAACACCAGUGGCGAAGGCGGCCGCCUGGCCUGUUGCUGACGCUGAGGCACGAAAGCGUGGGGAGCAAAUAGG